ACCCGUUUUCUUUGUAAAGUAUAACUUUGUUUAAAAAGCUUGACCGCCAGACGUUGCUUCGUUUCGCUCUAAUCCAAAAUUUGAGAGUAUUUCUUUAAAUUUUGCUCUUUCGAAAGCGAAAAGUCAAUGUUAUUAUCGUUUUCUUUACUUGUAUUCCGCAGAAAUAGUAAAUGGUCGCAAGGCGAAACAAACAACAGCUAUAAAGUAUUGUAAAAGCGAGCAAAUAAAGGCGACAAUGUUAAAACAUACACGCCAAAACCGAUUUUGUACCGAAGCGUACCGGAUUAGCCUGUUUACACUGCUCCGGCACAUACCGGAUUACUUUUCAUAUCACCUCCAAAGCGGAGUGAUUUUUGCUCCGCGUCGCGUACCGGAUUACUGUGGCGUAGUGUAAACAGCAGCCGAAUCCGGUAUGAAAAUCGCUACGCUCCGAUGCAAUCCGGUAUAGUGUAAACGGGGCCUAAA